AUUGAACGCUGGCGGCAGGCCUAACACAUGCAAGUCGAGCGAGCGGCGGACGGGUGAGUAAUGUAUGGGGACUGCCCGAUAGAGGGGGAUAACUACUGGAAACGGUAGCUAAUACCGCAUACUAUCGGAUAACCCAGAUGGGAUUUGCUAGUAGGUGGGGUAAUGGCUCACCUAGGCGACGAUCCCUAGCUGGUCUGAGAGGAUGCUCAGCCACACUGGGCCUGGGCAACGGCCCCGACUCCUACGGAGGCAGCAGUGGGGAAUAUUGCACAAUGGGGGCAAUCCUGAUGCAGCCAUGCCGCGUGUAUGAAGAAGGCCUUAGGGUUGUAAAGUACUUUCCGUCGGGAGGCGUUACCCGCAGAAGAAGCACCGGCUAACUCCGUGCCAGCAGCCGCGGUAAUUC
rnacentral:rRNA from 1 species